UUCCAUAUCACCUCUUAGUUUUUGGGUUUUGGUAGUAAUGACAAGAUCUAAGAGGUAUGUCUUUUUGGGGAAACUUUAUUCUUUAGUUUGUCUGUUUAGCCCUUCUAGGCAUUGUUGGUGGGUUUCCCUUCAGCUGUGACCAUGGUUUUCUACUGGAUCUUGCAGUUUGAUCAAGUUUUUUGAGCUCCCAUGUUUUCUUUUGAAGUUUGGACCUCGGAGACUGAGGUGAUCGGCACUUUGUGUAGGGCUAAAGGUCCCUGCAUUGAUCCUUGCCAACAGUUGAUGCAGUGUGAAUCUCCAUAUUAUUCCUCUAGGAUUAGGAUCUGUGGGUUUGCUUAUGAGCUUAGACUUGCUUUGUUAUUUUAGGCUUUUGUAGCUUUUUUUUAUCUGAAGAUAUAGAGAUCAAAUCCAGAGAUACAAUCGCUCUGUAGCCCAAACUUAUUAAAGGCAAGGGUCUAAAGCCCAAAAAAAGCAGAUAUAAAAAUCAUUUUAUUUAACUCCAAUUUUCCAAAAAAGGCGGAUAUAAAAAUUUUCAUAUUUAACUCUGUUCUCCAAAAAGAAUAAAAGAAAUAAAAAUAAACAAAAUAAGAAAAUACAAAACCACCACCGGAGUUGGGAGGAGGGAGAACCCGCACUCCGGACGGGAGAAACCGAAGUCGUUCUCCGUCCGAAUGGAACAAGGAGAAAUCAAUGAACGUUUUGCUCCCAGAAGAAAGUGAAGAAACGAG
rnacentral:lncRNA from 1 species